UAGAUUAAUUGAUUUUUUAAUUUAAAUCAAACACAUGGCUGACUCCUUAAAAAUGAGUGAAAAAAAAAGAAAAAAAUGAAUGAUUUUAAAUGUGUAUCUGUGUGAGAAUGAGAGGUACAAAAUUUCAUUGAGAUGUACUGCCACAUAAUCUUCAUUCCUUCCCAAAAACAAGUGAAAAAAAAAAUGAAUGAUUUUUUUCAUGUGUAUCUAAGUGGGAAUGAGAGAUACAAAAUUUCGUUGAGAUGGAGUGUUGCCACAUGAUCUUUAUCCUCGAUGGAACCCAACAUAUUAAAUCCAAUAACUCUCUCCC
rnacentral:lncRNA from 1 species